AUGGGUUUCAUGAAUCACCAUAUCCAGAGAUUCAUCGACACAGCUUGUUGCCAGAUAAUCUUCAGUGAGCUGAUCGAGCACCUUGAGGCCAAAGUGAGUGCUGACAUCACGAGAUUUCAGUCUCUCAUCGAUUUGUUCAUACCAACCAUCGACAGCGAGCACGGCAUAUGUUACACCCAACCUGAGAAACUUCCAGGUAUCACACUGAGUGGCCUAAGGAAGCAUUUCUUCCAGUGCAAUUCCAGGGUGUUCAAAAGGGGCGCGUGGACGCGUCGCAAGAUACAGUCGGAGUGCGGCAUGCACGUGAUGUGGCACAAGACCGGCAAUACCAUGUUGGCGAUGGUCAACGGCCGGCAGAUGGGCAGCAAAAAAGGUUCUGGUGCUACGCACCAACAAGAACUUCGACCAGCAGAGGACCAAGUAGGUGAUGCACCAGUACCACCUCAGGGACCUGGAGCAAGAGAAUGA
rnacentral:rRNA from 1 species